rnacentral:rRNA from 1 species
GUGCCAGCCGCCGCGGUAAUACGUAGGGCGCAAGCGUUAUCCGGAAUUAUUGGGCGUAAAGAGCUCGUAGGCGGUUUGUCGCGUCUGCUGUGAAAUCCCGAGGCUCAACCUCGGGCCUGCAGUGGGUACGGGCAGACUAGAGUGCGGUAGGGGAGAUUGGAAUUCCUGGUGUAGCGGUGGAAUGCGCAGAUAUCAGGAGGAACACCGAUGGCGAAGGCAGAUCUCUGGGCCGUAACUGACGCUGAGGAGCGAAAGCGUGGGGAGCGAACAGGAUUAGAUACCCCUGUAGUCC